GGGGACUGUCAACAAUGGUUUG
rnacentral:miRNA from 1 species